CGGAGCGUAGCUCAACCUGGUCGAGCGUCUGGUUUGGGACCAGAAGGUUGCUGGUUCAAAUCCAGUCGCUCCGA
rnacentral:tRNA from 1 species